CCUUACUCGGGUUUCUGCUCACCAAUUUAAAUCCGUUUCCUGGCAAAGCAGACGCUACGAUCAAGAAGUCAUUUUCCCAGGAUGCGGUUCAUCCUCUGUGCCAUGGGUGUUCACCUGGAAAGAAACUUGAUACCAUAAAUGUGCACCCCUCAUUCAGCAGUUCUUCAUUCUGGCUCCAUCUCAGCCUUGCCAUCCAAGGAGUUCAGACUGUCCCGGGAGGAG